rnacentral:rRNA from 1 species
CAGCAGCCGCGGUAAUACAGAGGUCCCGAGCGUUGUUCGGAUUCACUGGGCGUAAAGGGUGUGUAGGAGGUUGGAUAAGUCAGGUGUGAAAUCCCGCAGCUCAACUGCGGAACUGCAUUCGAUACUGUUCAACUAGAGGAUCGGAGGGGGAAGCGGAAUUCUUGGUGUAGCAGUGAAAUGCGUGGAGAUCAAGAGGAACACUCGUGGCGAAAGCGAGCUACUGGACAAUAACUGACGCUGAGGCUCGAAGGCCAGGGUAGCGAAAGGGAUUAGAUACCCGCGUAGUCCCUGUCUCUUAUAC